rnacentral:rRNA from 1 species
AUUGAACGCUGGCGGCAUGCCUUACACAUGCAAGUCGAACGGUAACGGGCCUUCGGGCGCCGACGAGUGGCGAACGGGUGAGUAAUGUAUCGGAACGUACCUUUCAGUGGGGGAUAACGUAGCGAAAGUUACGAUAAUACCGCAUAUUCUGUGAGCAGGAAAGCAGGGGAUCGCAAGACCUUGCGCUGAUUGAGCGGCCGAUAUCAGAUUAGCUAGUUGGUGAGGUAAAGGCUCACCAAGGCGACGAUCUGUAGCGGGUCUGAGAGGAUGAUCCGCCACACUGGAACUGAGACACGGUCCAGACUCCUACGGGAGGCGGCAGUGGGGAAUUUUGGACAAUGGGGGCAACCCUGAUCCAGCCAUGCCGCGUGAGUGAAGAAGGCCUUCGGGUUGUAAAGCUCUUUCGGCCGGGAAGAAAUCGCACGGGCUAAUACCCUGUGUGGAUGACGGUACCGGAAUAAGAAGCACCGGCUAACUACGUGCCAGCAGCCGCCGUAAAAC